rnacentral:rRNA from 1 species
GUAGGGAAUAUUGCGCAAUGGACGAAACUCUGAUGCAGCGACGCCGCGUGAGUGAUGAAGGCCUUCGGGUCGUAAAGCUCUGUCGCAGGGGAAUAACACAAUGAAGGUACCCUGUAAGAAAGGAUCGGCUAACUUCGUGCCAGCAGCCGCGGUAAGACGAGGGAUCCUAGCGUUGUUCGGAAUCAUUGGGCGUAAAGCGGACGUAGGUGGCUAUGUAAGUCAGAUGUGAAAGCCUGGGGCUCAACCUCAGAAGUGCAUUUGAUACUGCGUAGGUUGAGUGUCGGUGAGGUUACUAGAAUUGUUAGUGUAGUGCUGAAAGACGUAGAUAUCAACAGGAGUACCAGAGGCGAAGACGGGUAACUGGCCGAACACUGACACUGAGAUCCGAAAGCGUGGAGAUCAAACAGGAUUAGAAACCCUUGUAGUUC